GAGGGUGUAGCUCAGUGGUAGAGUGUGUGCUUAGCAUGCAUGAGGUCCUGGGUUCAAUCCCCCCUGCCUGCA
rnacentral:tRNA from 1 species